rnacentral:rRNA from 1 species
ACCUUUUUUUUCAAGGUAAUCCAAUCGAAUGAGUGACCUAUCAAGCCAGUACGUAGGGUCUUUACCUACGUAAGCUAUCACGGGUAACGGGUGGUUAUCGUCAUACUUCCGGAGAAGGCGCCUGAGAGAUAGCGACUAUAUCCACGGGUAGCAGCAGGCGCGAAACUUACCCACUCGAAAUAUUCGGAGGUGGUAAUGACCAGUUAUAAAUAUUUUUUUUAAGUAAAGAAUAUUAUAUAGGAAUAUAAUUUUCCAUUAUAUUGUAACCUAGCAGAGGGCCAGUCUGGUGCCAGCAGCUGCGGUAAUUCCAGCUCUGCAAGUUUGCUCCCAUAUUGUUGCAGUUAAAACGCUCGUAGUCUGAAUUCAUUCUAUUUAUUAAUAAAUAGAAUUUUAGUUUUAAAUUUAAAUUAAAACGUUCACUGUGAACAAAUCAGAACGCUUAAAGUAAGGAAUUCAAUACUUGAAUGACUUUGCGCAGUAUGAAAUUUUUACUAUUAACUUAAUUUUUUAAAU